rfam:Gossypium raimondii Chr06_contig_1310, whole genome shotgun sequence.
UGUUAAAACUUUGUUCCUUUCUACUAUUAAAAACUUGCUUGACUGAUAGAAUAACCAAAUAGUGACACGUGGCGUACCACUUGUAUUUUAUGCUGACAUACAAGAAUCGAUUUUUAACAGUAGAAAUAGAUGAAAUUUUUAACA